CGUCCCCAGUUCCUUCAGGAAGGUCAGAUCCUUUGGGUCAAUCUCCCACGACCCUGGGACAGAGAGAACAAGCAUAAUGGGGUUGCAGGUGGCCUCCUUGAUCUAGCAAGCACAAGAAGAGCUCACAAGCAUUCGCUGCCUGAAAAACUGUCCCCAAAAUCCAUGAAAUCUGAGACUUGUUCCUCCAAGGGAUGGGGAGCAAAGUAGUUUGUGGCAUCUCUUGGUCAGAACUGACACCAGAGGGAGAGUGUGUGUUGGGAAGUGAUUCCUGGGAAGGCUGUGAGCCCUUCUGCCAUGGGACAACCAGGAUCCCAGCCUCAGAAAGUCAGUGCUGCAACCAGGGAAGUGUGAGGUAGCCCAGGCCAGCUUACCAUAGCCAAGGCCAGCUGUGGAAGGAGCACUCCUCUGGUGUUGAGACACAGGGUACUUCAGUCUGGAUAUGAGCCCUGAGACACAAAAAGGAACAGGCGCUUCUUGAAGUUGAGGGGAGAUGUCUUCUUCUUCUGCUGUGAACGCUUCAGGAAGAUGCUCUCCAGGAGGACACUGGCCAUGUCGGCCCUGCCGGCCUCCUCCGUGCUGUGCUCACCACGUUGCUUUGGGCAGGACACCACCAACACAGUGCUCGCUGCCCACUGCUGGACCUCACUUAGCGCACUGUCUCCACUGCCCGAGGGGCAAGCUGGGGGUGCUGGGACCACCACGGCGGGGAAUCAGCUGCAGAGGUGUGCGGGCAGGUCAGUGCGGGGUAUCUGUGAUGUGACCUCUCCCUCUUCUGUCCCCUCUCCAGCGCCAGGCUGCAGACCAAGCCGCUACCCGGAUGGCUUUGGCUUCCGAUGGGUGCUGGAGGGGCCCCACGGGGGUGCAGAUGGACAGACAGACAUAGAUAGAGAGGGAGGAGCGCAGAGCCUAAGAAGCAACACCCAGAGGGCUCCCUCCUCUCCUCCAGCAUCAUGUGUGUAUGUUUGUGUGGGCCGUUUCCUCCUGCCAUAGCGCAGGCACUUUGUGCAGGGACGUGCUGACCUGGUUCUGUGGAAGGGGCAGCUGUGGGAGACCGGUCCCUAAAAACUUGUGGGUAGAUCCUGGCCUCAAAUAGCUGCUGAGAGCACAGAGUAGCCCUAAAGGUAUCCUUCCCCUCUGUGUCGAUGGAGCCUGCAGGAAAGCAAGGAUGAUGCUCGACCCAGUUUUCUCCCCCUCCAGGCUUGAAGGGCUGCCUCCAGCCAGCAAACAGAGGGGUUAAAUCCUUCCCCAGCCCUCCUCAGCAAAGCUCUUCCCUUGAGCCUCUCCAGGGAUGGUCCAGGUAGAAAAGGGCUCAGUUGAGAGCCCGUUGUCCCACUGCUGCCCUGCUUUCAGGGGGGCUGGAAAUCUGCACUGGCACAUCUCUUGGAGCAUCCUGUACCCUUUCAUGCUGCACUGUGGCACCCAGACAGCUCCAACACCCCCCAGAGCUCUGGCCUUCUCCUCCUCUGAAGGCUGUAACCAGUGCCUGACUCCAGCCUGAAUGUAACAGGGAGUUCAUGAGCUACAUGGAGCCUCUGCUGAACUCCCCUGGAGCCCUCCUCCAUGUCUCCUGCCCUGACUACCUACAUGCCCUGCUCCCCCUUCACCUCCACCUUUUUUCCUCCUACAAACACAGCUUUAGAGGGCAACCCAGAAGAAGCUGUUUCCCUUCCCUGCUGCCCUCAGCCCAUCUCCUCUGGGGGAGGCUCAGAGGUGCGCAGGAGCCAGGAGUUGAGCCCCCCUCCAUCAAGGCAGGCAGCCCAUCCCUUCCCCUCACACAGGAGGCAGGCAUUGGCUGAGCCAUCACAGGGACCAUGUGGGGACCAAAGAUGCCAGGACCCGGUCCCAAUAGCUGUGCCUCUCUCUGGGGCAUGCCCAGACCGGGAGGCAGGAGCAGGAGUGUUCCCAGACUCUCCCAGCACAGAUCCUGCUGCUGCAAUCCCGCCCCACUGCGGUGGCUAUAGCCAGAGAGGCUGAGAACAAGCAGGGUUCCCACUUCCAGGGUCCCCUUUCCCUACCCUUGUGGCCUUCAUGGGCCUUUCCCGCUUGUUUGGGUGGUUUAAAAAACAAAACAAAGCAAAAAAACCCUUCA